UUCAAAUCUAACAGAGGCAAUUUCAGCUUCUUUAUUCUUCUGAAAGUCGGUCCUUCCCUUCAAAAAAAAAAAAAAGUCAGUCCCUUGUUGUUUCAACAAUUCAUUGUUAUUAAGAUCAAAAUUACCCAAAUUCCCUCGCGAACCUAAUAAGGUUAAACCUACCUGAAUAAGAUUCAACGAAUUCAUCCGUUGUUGUUGUAUUAACUUAUCUUCUUCUCCGUCAAUUCCAAUCGAUUUGUGGCAUUCAAAGUGAACAUCGAAGUUUUCUAGGGAAACAAAAAUGGCGGCUUUAACUGAAGUUAACUAUAUUCACAGCUUGACUAUUUGACCGUUAUGACUAACGAUUUUACUACCCAAAGUCAUCAACGGACAAACUUAUGACCCAAACACUAAAUGGUACCAAAACAUAUGACCCAAAUACUAAUUAACUCUAUUUUUUUUUUUGUUAUUGUUCUAAUUGUGUUUGUAAUCACAUUUUAUUAUUUGAAUUCAUCUUGCGCUGUCGAAAGCAAUAUAACAUUUAAGGUCAUAUUUCUCUUCCCCAUGCUUAUACAGUUUUAGCAUGUUGAAGUAACUAAUUUCUCCUUGCAGUCGAUCCAAUAUGGCUUCAAAAAAAAAAAUCACGUAUUGCAGAUAUGAAAAUCACAUUAUAUAUGAAAAUCACAUUAUAUAUGAAAAUUACGUACAACCUUUCAAUCAUAUUGCAGAGAUGACGACUUUUCUGGAGAUCGAUGUUGUCAUAUGAUAGAUCAUAUAUGUCUUGAAAGGAUACACUUUGCAAGUACUUUGUUCUUACAGUGAGAACUUCUGAAUAUGACUGUUAUGCAUCUCCGCAGUUAUCAAAACCAUUUUACGGGAGCAAAGGAUAAUAACACUCAUUCCCAUCUUGGAUACUCAUGUACUCUUUGUCGAUAAGGUUUUGAUUCGGGUUAAGCUCACUAUCCAACUCAUAAAAUCUUCUGUGCAAACCAUUCAUACCGAUUUGGACUAACGUUUUUCCUUAAUACUCAUGUAUUUCACUCCUUGAAACUUCCCUUACUCAAUAGCUAGGUUUUUUGAAACCUGAUCCCAAUGAAAGUCCAAAUGUUAUUGUUGUUGCGUAAAUAUGUUGUAAACUGCAAGGAAAAAAUAAUUUUUACCAUAUUGCACAUAUAAUGUUUAACUCAUAGCUAAUGGGUUUUGCUA